AUUAACUGAAUCCAUAGGUUAAUGAGGCGAACCGGGGGAACUGAAACAUCUAAGUACCCCGAGGAAAAGAAAUCAACCGAGAUUCCCCCAGUAGCGGCGAGCGAACGGGGAGCAGCCCAGAGCCUGAAUCAGUGUGUGUGUUAGUGGAAGCGUCUGGAAAGGCGCGCGAUACAGGGUGACAGCCCCGUACACAAAAAUGCACAUGCUGUGAGCUCGAUGAGUAGGGCGGGACACGUGGUAUCCUGUCUGAAUAUGGGGGGACCAUCCUCCAAGGCUAAAUACUCCUGACUGACCGAUAGUGAACCAGUACCGUGAGGGAAAGGCGAAAAGAACCCCGGCGAGGGGAGUGAAAAAGAACCUGAAACCGU
rnacentral:rRNA from 1 species